rnacentral:rRNA from 1 species
GCCAUGCGAGUCACGUAGCAUACUUGGCUACGGCUCAGUAUCACGUACUCAACAUGCCCAUGGCCCGUGGAUAACCUCGGGAAACUGAAGAUAAACCGCGAUAGGUCAUAGUAUCUGGAAUGAUUUAUGGUUCAGAUCUACAUGGCCUCUGGAUUGGACUGGGACCGAUCACGAUGUUGGUGAUGUAAUGGCCCAGCAAACCUAAAACCGGUACCGGCUCUGAGACGAAAAGCCCAGAGAUGGACACUGACACUAGGGCCCAGGCCCUAUGGCGCGCAGCAGGCGCAAAAACUCUGCCUCAGCCGAAAGCUUGACCUGGUUAUUCUGAUUGAUAUCCGUUAACGAAAUCUUUUGCUUCCUCUAACAAUGGUGCUGAAUAAGAGGUGGGCAAGCCUGGUGUCGGCCGCCGCGGCAAUACCAGCACCCCCAGUGGUCGGGACCAUUAUUGUUACUGAACCAUCCGUGUCCGGUUCUACAACUCUUCCGCUACAUCCACCUGCUCCAGAUAUGGGCAUGGGAUGAUACUAUUAAUCUAGAAGGCGGAAGAGGCAAACGGUACUUAUUGUGUAGGGGUAAAAUCCAUUUAUCCUUUUAAGACCACCACCGGCGAAGGCGACUUGCCAUAGCCCGCUCGACCUCGAGGGAUGAGGGCUGGGGGAGCAGACCGGAUUAGAUAUCCAGGUACGCCCAGCUGCAACCGAUGCAGAUUCGGAGUUGAAUAGGCUUCGUGCCUAUGCAUUGUCGCAGGGACGCCGAUGACUCUGCCUCCUGGGGAGGACGAUCACAGGACUGAGACUUAA